rnacentral:rRNA from 1 species
CCUGCCCUUCAGAGGGGACAACAGUUGGAAACGACUGCUAAUACCGCAUACGAUCUAAUCUCGGCAUCGAGGAUAGAUGAAAGGUGGCCUCUACAUGUAAGCUAUCACUGAAGGAGGGGAUUGCGUCUGAUUAGCUAGUUGGAGGGGUAACGGCCCACCAAGGCGAUGAUCAGUAGCCGGUCUGAGAGGAUGAACGGCCACAUUGGGACUGAGACACGGCCCAGACUCCUACGGGAGGCAGCAGUGGGGAAUCUUCCGCAAUGGACGAAAGUCUGACGGAGCAACGCCGCGUGAGUGAUGACGGCCUUCGGGUUGUAAAGCUCUGUUAAUCGGGACGAAAGGCCUUCUUGCGAACAGUGAGAAGGAUUGACGGUACCGGAAUAGAAAACCACGGCUAACU